CCAGACUCCUACGGGAGGCAGCAGUGAGGAAUAUUGGUCAAUGGCCGGAAGGCUGAACCAGCCAAGCCGCGUGAGGGGGGAAGGCGCAGAGCGUCGCAGACCUCUUUUGCCGGGGGACAAAAGGCCGGACUCGUCCGGUCCUGAGGGUACCCGGAGAAAAAGCAUCGGCUAACUCCGUACCAGCAGCCGCGGUAAUACGGAGGAUGCGAGCGUUAUCCGGAUUCAUUGGGUUUAAAGGGUGCGCAGGCGGGCCCUUAAGGCGGGGGGGAAAUGCGCGGGCUCCACCCCCGCCGAGCCGUCGGAACUGGGGGCCUUGAGUGCGGCGGAGGCAUGCGGAAUGCGCGGUGUAGCGGUGAAAUGCAUAGAUAUCACGAAGAACCCCGAUUGCGAAGGCAGCAUACCGGCUCCACACUGACGCUGAGGCACGAAAGCGUGGGUAUCGAACAGGAUUAGAUACCCCUGUAGC
rnacentral:rRNA from 1 species